rnacentral:rRNA from 1 species
UACGUAGGGGGCAAGCGUUGUCCGGAAUCAUUGGGCGUAAAGAGCGCGUAGGCGGCCCUGUAAGUCCGCUGUGAAAGUCAAGGGCUCAACCCUUGAAUGCCGGUGGAUACUGCAGGGCUAGAGUCCGGAAGAGGCGAGUGGAAUUCCUGGUGUAGCGGUGAAAUGCGCAGAUAUCAGGAGGAACACCGGUGGCGAAGGCGGUUCUCUGGGCAUUAACUGACGCUGAGGAGCGAAAGCAUGGGGAGCGAACAGG